rnacentral:miRNA from 1 species
UAGAAAUUGGCAGGGCAAUUCUCCUUUGGCAAACCAGAAGAAAUCACGUGCAUGCAUGUUCUCUCUGCCAAAGGAGCAUUACUCUGUCAUUCCUCA